AUUUAUAUAGUAUUUUAAGUACAUUUAACUUCCAAUUAAAAAGAUUAAUAAACUAUAUUAAUAUAAAUA
rnacentral:tRNA from 1 species